UCUAUGGAUUCCCUAUCUCACUGGUCACUACUCAGUAUCCUUUGCUGAUUUCUCCAGGUCUUGGAUGUCAGACUUCAUCUCUAGCUGUGUUCUUCCCUGGGUGAUCUGAUCCAAUCCCAUGAUUUUGAAUAUGAUCAGCAUUUUAGUCCUGAAUAUUUCUAGGCCCCAAACCUCUCAAAACUCAUAUUCAACAUCUUGAUAUGAAUUUCUCAAUAUUCCAAGUCAACUCCUUGAUUACCCAACACCAGUUGUUCAUUCAUCCAGUUGCUCAGAGCAAAUGUUUUGGGUGUCUACCAGUUCCUGAGAGGGACGCGUGCCGCGGAGCCAGGCUUACUACGUGACCCGGACACCAGGCAUACGCUAGGGGCAGUCAGCUGUGCCUUCUCUUUCGGAGUUGUUCCGUGCUCCCACGUGCUUCCCCUUCUCCACUGGCUGGGAUCCCCCGGGCUCGGGGCGCAGGUACCCAACGCGGGAGGGCCGGGUAUGGAUGCCAAGAUCGGUGUCUGUGUUCUUCCUGGGUCGAGAGGGGACCGGCCUCAGGAUGAAGGCUCUGCAUCCGGACGGAUACCUGGCCUACGCCGUUUGUCCUCCACCCCUCUUUUGGGGCGCUCCAAGAUAACAGAAUCACCUCUCCAAUACGCAGCCGCUCUCGGCGCGUGCUUCUCGAGCGUCCUCGGGGAUUUGCGUGGCUCGAUAACCACCUCUAAGUAGUGCCUGUAACUGGGGAGUCGGGGUGAAUGGGUGGGUGACAACAGUUGUUUUCCGUGGAGCUUGCCCGCAGUGCCUGGCUGCAGGUCUGGGCAUUAUACUUAGGGUAAUCUGAUUCCAGA
rnacentral:lncRNA from 10 species